rnacentral:rRNA from 1 species
CUUGAUUCUUAUAAGAGGUCCAGCCUGCCCAGUGACAAAGUUCAACGGCCGCGGUAACCUAACCGUGCAAAGGUAGCAUAAUCACUUGUUCUCUAAAUAGGGACUUGUAUCAACGGCAUCACGAGGGCUUCACUGUCUCCUUUCUCUAAUCAGUGAAACUGAUCUUCCCGUGAAGAAGCGGGAAUUUUAUUAUAAGACGAGAAGACCCCAUGGAGCUUUAAGCAAUGUAUUUACCUUUUAUUAUUUUAUCCAUUUAGCAAAAUACCUAAAUACUAGCUUUAGGUUGGGGGGACCGCGGAGUAAAAACUAACCUCCACGACAAAUAGGGCCACGCCCUUAUCCACGAGCCACUACUCUAAGAAUCAACAAACUGAUGUUCAAUGACCCAACAAUUUGAUUAACGAACCA